rnacentral:rRNA from 1 species
GCGGUUUUCUAGGUUGUCCCUGACGUUGAUGCCCAAAAGCGUGGGGAGCGAAACGUAUUAGAUACACGUGUAGUCCACGCCCUAAACGUUGGACACUAGGUAUGGGGAGUAUCGACCCUUUUCGUGCCGAAGCUAACGCUUUAAGUGUCCCGCCUGGGGACUACGGCCGCAAGGCUAAAACUCAAAGGAAUUGACGGGGACCCGCACAGGCAGCGGAGCGUGUGGUUUAAUUCGAUGCAACGCGAAGAACCUUACCAAGGCUUGACAUGCUAGAAGUAGAACCUUGAAAGAGUAACGACCUGUAUCCAAUCAGGAGCUAGCACAGGUGCUGCAUGGCUGUCGUCAGCUCGUGCCGUGAGGUGUUAGGUUAAGUCCUGCAACGAGCGCAACCCUUGUCGCUAGUUAAAUUUUCUCUAGCGAGACAGCCCUUUAAUGGGAGGAAGGUGAGGAUGACGUCAAGUCAGCAUGGCCUUUAUGCCUUGGGCCACACACACGCUACAAUGGAUGAUACAGAGGGUUGCUAUAGAGCGAUCUGGAGCUAAUCCCUAAAAUCAUCCUCAGUUCAGAUUGCAGGCUGAAACUGCCUGCAUGAAGGAGGAGUUGCUAGUAACCGCAGGUCAGCACACUGCGGUGAAUACGUUCUCGGGUCUUGUACACACCGCCCGUCACGUCAUGGAAGUCGGUAACACCUGAAGUCAAUGGGCUAACCUUCGGAGGCAGUUGCCGAGGGUGGGACUGAUAACUGGGACGAAGUCGUAACAAGGUAGCCGUA